AGCGAACGCUGGCGGCAGGCCUAACACAUGCAAGUCGAGCGGCCGUAGCAAUACGGCAGCGGCAGACGGGAGAGUAACACGUGGGAACGCGCCCUUCGGUUCGGGAUAACCCAGGGAAACUUGGGCUAAUACCGGAUACGCCCUUACGGGGAAAGAUUUAUUGCCGAAGGAACGGCCCGCGUCCGAUUAGCUAGUUGGUGAGGUAAUGGCUCACCAAGGCGACGAUCGGUAGCUGGUCUGAGAGGAUGACCAGCCUCACUGGGACUGAGACACGGCCCAGACUCCUACGGGAGGCAGCAGUGGGGAAUAUUGGACAAUGGGCGCAAGCCUGAUCCAGCCAUGCCGCGUGGGUGAUGAAGGCCUUAGGGUUGUAAAGCCCUUUCGGCGGGGAAGAUAAUGACGGUACCCGCAGAAGAAGCCCCGGCUAACUUCGUGCCAGCAGCCGCGGUAA
rnacentral:rRNA from 1 species